ACUCAAAGGAAUUGACGGGGGCCCGCACAAGCGGAGGAACAUGUGGUUUAAUUCGAUGAUACGCGAGGAACCUUACCCGGGCUUAAAUUGCAACUGAAUAAUAAAGAGAUUUAUUAGCUAGCAAUAGCAGUUGUGAAGGUGCUGCAUGGUUGUCGUCAGCUCGUGCCGUGAGGUGUCGGCUUAAGUGCCAUAACGAGCGCAACCCUUGUUGUCAGUUACUAACAGGUCAUGCUGAGGACUCUGACAAGACUGCCAUCGUAAGAUGUGAGGAAGGUGGGGAUGACGUCAAAUCAGCACGGCCCUUACGUCCGGGGCUACACACGUGUUACAAUGGGGGGUACAGAAGGCAGCUACACGGCAACGUGAUGCCAAUCCCAAAAACCCCUCUCAGUUCGGAUCGAAGUCUGCAACCCGACUUCGUGAAGCUGGAUUCGCUAGUAAUCGCGCAUCAGCCAUGGCGCGGUGAAUACGUUCCCGGGCCUUGUACACACCGCCCGU
rnacentral:rRNA from 1 species